CGAGCUCCGGUUCACGUCUGCGCAGUCGCGCCGACGACCCGGCGGCC
rnacentral:ncRNA from 1 species